UGGGCCUUGUUGGGUUGGAGUUGUAGCUGUCAGCUGACUGGAGCUGGGUAUGCAACAGCAUAGUGCCAGCAGUGCUCACUCCACUCCUAAAGUCCUCAGCACCACAUCUGUGCUGGCCACCAUGCCAGUGACCCAGUGGACAGCUCUUCUUCUGAGGGGUGAUAUAACCUCGUAUCGGCUGAGAGAGUGUAACGGCUGAAAGCAGGCGGAGAGCCAGCAACAUGUGGCAGGAGCCACAUUUUUAACACAACUGUUUACACAAAAUGACUGUCAGUUUAAGUUCUGGCCCUUUGAUGAGCAUCCCUCCGAGCACAAAAAUAUUGCUGUGUAAACUCACUGCAGAGGCUUUGUACAGGCGCAUGGGAAGUUUGGCCAGGCUCAACCA